GGGGGGGGGGGGGGGGGGGGGGGGGGGGGGGGGGGGGGGGGAGGAGACGGGGGGCUGGCUCCUCGGACGGUGGGGGCGGAGGGGUGAGGAAGACGUGGGUGACCUGCCUAUGCGCCUGGGGUACCUGCGGGAAACCGGAGCUACUACCGGAUAAUAUAUUGAACCGCAUGGUUCCAUAGUGAAAGGCGGUUUUGCUGUCCCUGAUAGAUGGCUCCGCGCCGCAUUAGCUAGUUGGUAAGGUAACGGCUUACCAAGGCGACGAGGCGUAGCCGACCUGAGAGGGUGAUCGGCCACACUGGAACUGAGACACGGUCCAGACUCCUACGUGAGGCAGCAGUAGGGAAUCUUCCGCAAUGGGCGAAAGCCUGACGGAGCAACGCCGCGUGAGUGAUGAAGGUCUUCGGAUCGUAAAACUCUGUUAUUAGGGAAGAACAAAUGUGUAAGUAACUAUGCACGUCUUGACGGUACCUAAUCAGAAAGCCACGGCUAACUACGUG
rnacentral:rRNA from 1 species